GCCCCUUUAGCUCAGUUGGUAGAGCGCGGCACUAGUAUCUGCUCACAGCGGUGAUGCCGAGGUCGAUAGUUCAACUCUGUCAGGGGGCA
rnacentral:tRNA from 1 species